GUUGGGGAACUGGGACCCGCGCAUGUCCAUCUCCCCAAGUUGGUUAGUGUCGGUAAUGCUUAAUGCGUCGACGAAGUAAAAUGUUCGGCUCGUCACUUGGCCGACAUUAGUGUUAAGAAAUAAUUAAUAUUACGCGUUGGGUGAUACGUAUGGGAUUGAAAGUUUGCCAUUUGUCCUUGGUUACCCAACAAAUCCUCCCUUUGCUCUUAUCUUCGUUUUUUUAUUCGUCCUUUCCCUCUCUCUUUUUGGUGGCGGUAACAACCACCAGCAGCACCGGCAGCAGCAGUAGCAGCACCAGCAGCACCAACAACAGCACCACCACCACCACCAUCUUCACUACUACUACUACUACUACUACUACUACUAUUACUACCACUACCACCACCACUGGUAUUACCACCACCAGUACUACCACCACCAUUAUCGUCACCCCCACUACCACCCCCACUACCAUCGGCUAAAGUCCUCGUCCCACCCCAGAAAGCUUCUUCCUCUCCCCCCAAAAAUAUGGUCGGAGGCGGUGGCGGUGUUGCUGCUGUUGCUGCUGCUGCUGCUGCUGCUGGUGGCGGCGUAGCGCGGGUGCGCGCGGAGCUGCCUUAACAGCGUUCGCUGCUGAACGACACAGUGGUGACUUUGGAGAGACACGAAGCUGCGGAAGGAAAGGGUCGCAAGCUCGAUCGUGCUCCACUGGAUGGCUCGACGUGUACUACUUGGUCGUUAGAAUAACAAAGAAAGAAAAAGAGAGAAAGAAAGAGAGAAAAAGAGAGCUAGACACAUUCCUAAAGAAAAAAAAAAAGCUCAUCACUAUCAAGCGAACUUGAAUAUAUAUAUAGAGAGAGAAAGAGAGAGAGAGAGAGAAAGAGAGAGAGAGAGAGAGAGAGAGAGUGCCGGUCGAUAGUGAGAUCCUUGUGCGAUUUCCUCCUCAUCCAAGAAGAUAGAAGAAGAGUUAAGGGCAAAGAAAGGAGUGUCUCGUCCUGGAUUAAAAGCUUUUAGUGUUCCUCGUGAUAGUGUUCGAAUUUUUUUUUUAUCAUCCGCGAGAGAAAGAACGAGAGAGAAAGAGAGAGAGAGAGAGAGAGAGAGAGAAAGAAAGAAAGUAAAAGAAUAUAGCAACGUUGUUGAAAACAACGUUGUCCAAGAAGCGAAGAGUUAGUGUCUCUCUCUAUCCGUUUCUCGUUCCAUCGGUUGUUUUUCCAACCUCUGUCGCAACGACGGCGGUCGAUCCAGAGCUCGAGGAAGCAAGUGGAAGGGAGGAGGCCGAGGCGCAGGAGGAGCAGCAGCAGCAAGAAGAGGAGGAAGAGGAGGAGGAGGAGGAAGAGGAGGAGGUGGAGAAGGCGGAGGAGGCGGAGGAGGUGGUGGAGGAGGAAGAAGAGGUGAUUUCUACGUUCGAACGAGGAAGAUCGUGCUUCGUGCAUCUCCGCUGCGGAUCUCACGAUGACGGAUGGCUGUACGACGUGUGUUCUUCCCUCCUUUGAAACACGACUGACCAGCGACGGGGACGAACGGAAUCACUUCUCUGUACCUUGAUACGAUCUCGUGGGCGUGCGGGGGUGACUGGAGUGAUGGGAUGGGGCCAGAGCCCCAUGGAGUUCGGGUAGACCCGUCUCCGGCCCAGCUCCCCAGCCCCCUCCGCCAUAAAUAUCGCCACUGCUCCUGCCAACGACGCAGAGGGCCACCACGAUCGCGAUGGAGGCCUCUAGCAAUCAACAACAACAACAAAAAGAGAAGGAGUCACGUGUUCAUAGGCCUUAUGCCUUCGAUAAGAUGGAGGGGCUGGUGCGGGAGAUGCAAGACCCUCAAAACGGGGUACCCGUGCGCAGCCAAAAACAAUUUCUCACCUCGAUCCCCUCAGCGUUCAUGGGUGAGUGCCAUCGGUACCUGCGUUGUGGCAUAAACGUAAGCGGCCAUCACGGCCAGGAGAGUACAGUAGACUGCCUGCGUGUUGCAGGUUACGACCUCGUCGAGUGGCUUAUGGAUCGGCUUUCCAUCGAGGAAUCAGUAGAGGCGCUCCAUAUUGCUAAUCAACUAUGCCUGUACGGCUACUUCUUCCCGGUGAACGACUCGAAGACGCUUACCGUAAAGGAUGAUAGCUCGCUAUAUAGAUUUCAGUCACCGUAUUAUUGGCCAUGGCAACAUAGAACCCCUGACAACGUGGAAUACGCUAUUUAUUUGGCUAAACGAACAUUACGGAACAAACAACGCCACGCUCUUGAAGAUUACGAGAUCGAAGCUUUAAACAGUCUACGGAAGAACCUGCAAAAUAAAUGGGAUAUCAUACAACUACAGGCUGAAGAACAGGCUCAGGUACGAUUAGCUAAAGACCGGAAGAAGGGGGAUAAGAUAGUAAGCGAUUCACAGGAAAGAGCAUUUUGGAGAGUUUACCGGCCACCACCGGGUUGUCUUAGUAGUCUUGAAGUAGUUCCAGGACCAACACGUUUUCGUCCAGGAUUUCCACGUCCUCCACCACGUAAACGCACCGUCGCUGAGUUACAACGAGAGGUGGACUUUCUUCGAAACUGUUUAACACGCACGAGAAUAAAGGUUUCAGCUGCUAUAGAAAAUUUGAAGUCCUACUUUGAAACUUAUGUGGAAUACGAUCCAAUGUUCGUACAUCCGCAACCUUCGAAUCCUUGGAUCACCGAUGACAGUACAUUCUGGCAGUUGAAUAGUCCAGUAGUGGAAAUCCCUACGGAAAAGCGUGUAAAACGAUGGGCAUUAUCGAUGGAAGAACUCAUGUCUGAUCCAACAGGCCUGCUAGAAUUCACGAAUUACCUAAGAAAAGAAUACAGUCAUGAGAAUAUUCGAUUUUGGGUGGCCGUUAAAGAUUUGAGACACAGUUAUCAAGCUCAAAUAACAGAAAAGGUCAACGAAAUUUUCAAAGAAUUCCUGGCGCCGGGUGCUCCUUGCGAGAUCAACAUCGAUGGAAAGACAAUGGAAAAGGUCCAUCAAGAAAUGAAAAAUCCCAGCAGAUUUACCUUCGAUUCAGCCGCCGAGCACGUAUAUACUCUACUUUUGAAGAAGGAUUGCUACCCCAGAUUUAUUCGCUCGGAUCAAUAUCGAAAUCUUUUAGCAGCCGGCGUACAGCCACUGCAAAAGAAAAGAUUCUUCAGCUUCGGUGGUCAAGCAAAAAAGAAAAUGGCGCCUAGCACGAGUACAACGACGAGCACGUUGCAACAACAACAACACAGUGGCAAUAUUGGAACCAGUGGUGGUGGUGGUGGUGGUGGUGGUGGUGGUGGUGCUAGAAGAAGAGGAAGCGAUCGAAGCCUCUCAGGAUCAGCUCACGAGCUUGCUGUUUGUGGAGUACGUGAAAUAAGUUCUACGCCGAGAGUGCCGCAUUCUCAUAGCCAAUCAAAUCUCACCGAUAUUCCAUACAGGGGUGAUCUGGCGCGACUCUUAAAGAUCCCUACGAGGCCUAGUCCACAUAGUAUUCAGGAUGCUGGCGCCACGGAGGCGACAGUUCGCCCUAUGGACGACGUUUGCCCUUGGGACGCGAUCCCAGGGCCAAGUACAGAAACCGGCCAGGAUGCAGCACCCUUUGGAACGAGCCCGUGGCCUGACACGACUACGGAUCCCUGGGAAUACGGGAACGACGUAACCAAAACGUCGAUACAUUUCAUCGACGUGGCUCGUCCAUCUCGAAAGAAUUCCUCUCAGCUCGACUCCUGCAGUUCCUCUUCCGAUGUCAGUCUGGCUAUUGCGGAGGUCUCCGACAGGUUGAGAAAAUCCUGCAGCCUUCAGCACAGUUCUGUCACGACUGCCAUGAUGGAACGACAUGGUAUUGGUUCUGGAUCGGGUGGACAUACCAUCACCAGAAAUUAUUCUACUGGCUCGACUAGCAACAGAACCAAACUGUCGGAUAUAGGUCGCCCAUUGAUCAGCUCGUACAACUUACCAUCGCCUCUAGAAUCCUUCGAAUACAGUCACGCAGCUGGCGAGAAAUUCGAGGCGAUAAUCAGCCAAGCAACGAUCGAAGAGCCAGAAACAUCAACGAUGUUAGAAACAACGCAACAAUUGGACAAAGUUGUAACGAUAGAAGAAACGAAAAAAACUACGAGAAGGUCAUCAGCGAAAGCACCAUUGAUAAGUAUCAGUGCGAUCGUCGGCGACUUGCCAAGUGAUUCCGAGUGCGUUGGAACGAUAACUGGCGACAACGUUUCUACGCCAACAAGAGAAACUAAAAUGGAAAUUGAAUUGUUGGAAGAUAAAAACGUACAAGAAAGAGAACUGGAAAGGGAACGAGAAAAAGGAAAGGAAGAAAAACAAGAGAAAAGGGAAGAAGAAGAAAAAGAAGAAGAAAAAAAGGAAGAAGAAGAAGAAGAAGAAGAAGAAGAAGAAGAAAAAGGACAAGGAGAAGAACCAUUGGAAAAGGACGAUGACAAAAUAACGAAGGAAGUUGCUGUCGAAACACAAAAAAAUGAGUCUAUUGAAGAGGCUCAGGUUGUUCCUGUUUGGGAGCCGGACACCAAACAGGAAGACCAAAUGGCACCAACGACCACUACUGCAACCACCAGUACUGUGCCCACUCGGGAUAAGCGUGACAAUAAUGUUAACGAAGUGUGCCCGUGGGAGGACGAGUAUAAUUUCUCGUAGAGGCGUAGAAUCGAAGACUCCGAAAUGGAAGACGAGACGCGUUAUAGUCGAAGGGAGAACUGUAAAGUGGAUACGACCUAUGUAAAAACGUAUGCGACAUUAGGUUAUUUGUAACUUGGCGUUAACGCGCUAUAAUCCUUGCAUUUUACACUUAAAACACCCAUUCGUAAAUUUCGAUUAUCAUUAUUCUCAAACUACCGCUGAUCUCGAGUGCAUGAGCUUUCGUAGGUUUUACGAUUAAACUGUUGUGUCAUUUUUGAGAACGUCUUGGUAUUGUUGGUUGAAAGUGAACAAAGAAAAAGUUUAAGAUCGAUUAAUAACAAUUCGAUGAGCGAUCUUCUUAAUAUGUAUACAAGAAUAUGAAAUGAAGUUUUCGAAACUUACAACUCGAUCUACGGAUAUAUAAAUACGACUGAUACAAACGAUCGUUAAUAAAUAUUUCGUUUCCUUUAUGAAUUUAAUGAUGUAAAAUACAAAGUGAUCUAUGGCCUAAAAUUUUUCUUUAUCUAUCCACCGACAUUUAUCGACUGAGAGCCAUUGCGGCCAUUUAUUAUCGCCAUUUCUUUUUUUUUAUUUUCCUUCUUAAUAUAAGUCGAGAUGUAUUAAUUAAUUUUCAUGUUUUUUUUUUUUUUCUACUUAAUGUCGGUUAAUAUUAACGAAAACGCGUUGUUAUAAAUAGAGCGUAUUAGAAUACGUAUCUAGACUAUGAUAAAUGUGUUGUAGUAGUGGUGCGUAGUACAACCAUGUGUCUUUAUGUCGAAUAAAAAAACAAAAACAAAAAAAAAAAAGAAAGAAAAUAAAAAGAAAAAUAUUAAGAUACUUACCACGAUAUCGUUCGUUGAGCUUAAAAUAAGGUGAUAGAUGAUAUUUAAAAGAAAAAGAAAAAAAAAGAGAAGAAUAUUCGAUUUCGAUAUCGAAACUGAUUCGAUAUUCAAUAUACUUAUAAAUUUAAUUUUGAUUUUUGUCGAUCAUAAACGUGGCCUUUGGAUGCCAGUCAAUAAUGAGCCCCUUGACCGCAUGCAAAGACCAUGAAUUUUGUUAUCAAAUUUACUAAUAAUUUAUAUUAAUAAAAUGUAUAAUUUCCAAACUUUCCAACUAACUUGGUCAAAAAUAAAUCUUAAUAUUUCAUACAUUAAUUAUCAUUUCGUUCGAUCGAUCGAUACAUACGAUCAUUCCUAUCUGAUUUUUCAUUUUUUGUCGUCGAAACAAAAAAGAAAAAAAAAGCAAAUCAAUCGACGCGACUCGAAUUUGAUCUAUCGCCUUAAAGAAAGAAAGAAUAAAACAAAAAAGGCUAACGACGUCAACGUAAACGUAUUUAAUAAUUCGUGUUAGAAAUAUUAACAAAUGUUACGCUGUUAAAAUCCUUCGAUAUAAUUAUAUAACUAAUAAUAAUCGUUUGUCCGCUGCUUAAGCGUCUAAUUAAACAUUAACGAUGCGUUAGUCCACUACUUGUUAGUUAUAAAUAUACGAUAAAAAAAAAAAAAAAAAAAAGAAAAAAAAAGAAAAGAAAAGAAAAGAAAAAAUGCCCCCAUUCAUUCACUCAAGAAUGAACAAAAAAAAAACAAACAAACAAAAAGAAAGAAAAAGAGGAAGAAAACUAACGCGUUACGAUUCCAAUUAAAACUUGGUUAAACUUAAUCGUCGAAAGUACGAUUGCACUUGUAAUCAUUUAGAGCCUAAACGAGUUAUCACGUUGAUACGUGCAAUAACUUUUAAUGAUUUAUAGUAUAAUAAUUCUCGAUGAAAUUGCGGUUGAUCGUAUGAUUGCUGGAACUGAAACUGCCCCAGAGCCAGGAGUCUGCGAUAUUAGAUUAAAAUGAUUUAAACUUAAUAACACGAACAUGCACGCACGCACACACAUACACAGGUAUAUGUAUUUAUAUGUAUAUAUAUAUAUAUACACGUGUAUGUAUAUAUAUAUAUAUCGUAUAUACGAAGGCGUGCAUGUGUGUGUGUGUAUAUAUACAUAUAUAUACCUUAUAUAUCUUUCUCUCUAUUUUUCUCGUAACUAUGAAUCGAAGUGAAAGCCUAGUAAAUGUAACGUCAAUGUUUCGUUUUCUCACGUGUAUAUUUCUUAAAAACGAAAUAAUUAUAUAUAACGAUGAUAUACAUGCAUAUAUAUAUAUACAUAUACGUAUAUGUAUAUGUAUAUAUAAAUAUAUAACGUUGUGUCUGUGUCAAGAUAAAAAUUAACGAAAAAUUCAUUAGAACGAAAUGUACUGUAAGAACGAUGUAAGAUCGAUGAUUCAUUUAUUUAUUUUCUUUUGUUGUUUCUUUUUUGAAUUUCUUUUUAUAAUACUUUCUUACGAUAUAAUACUUUUGUUUUAUUUUAUUUUUUUUUCAUUCGUAAAUCGAUCGUUCUGAUUCGGUCGUUGAUUAUCUGAAGUUUCAUGUCGGCCAAUAUAAAUGAUGAAAAAUGAUACAUGAUGAUUCGAUGACAGAUAAACGAUUUCGAUUGUUCGCAGAAAUCAACUUGAUAUUUUUGUCGGAGACUUUCGAUAGUUCAUGCACUCGAGAUCCAUUAUACAUACACACACACACACGCAUAUAUAUAUAUAUAUAUAUAUAUAUAUAUAUAUAUAUAUAUAUAUAUGAGAUUUGAAACAAAUAAUUCUGAGGAACGUAUUGUUAAUUCGCAAAAUCAAGAUGAAGUCUUAUAAUAAUUCUUACUAUAGAUAACAAUCGAUAAAAUGACAACAAACCUGAUACACGAGAAAAAAAAAAGAAAUGAAAUGAAAAGAAAUUAGAGAAAAAAAGAAAAGAAAUAAAUAUAAUAAUAAUAAUAAUAAUAAUAAUAGUAAUAAUAAUAAUAGUAAUAAUACUAAUAAUAAUAAUAAUGAUAAUGAUAACAAUUAUUAACAACAAGUUAACUCUCUUUAAGAAGUGAAUAUAAAUAAUAUUAUUACUUAUCGCACGUUGAAGAACAAUGAAUAAGAAGUUUUCGAUGAUUAUAGAAUAUGGUGUGUUAAUAAACUAUUAUCGAUAAUCGUACUCGUGAAAAUGAAAUAUUCUGUAACGAUGAAAAAAGAAUACGAUUAGAAAUGAAACAAUAUGGUGUUAUAUCGUAAACACGUAUGAAUAUAGCGCCGAUAAAUUAAAAUAAUAAAGAGGAAGGAAGAAAGGAAGAAAUAAAAAAAAAAAAGUAUAUAUAUAUAUAUAGAAAUAAAAGAAAAAAUAAAAAAAAAAAUAAAUAAAAAAGGUUCGUUUCAAUAGCGAUGAAAGUUCUUCGUUUUUUUUUUUUUUUUUUCUGUAAAUAUUACAACGGCACUGUUGCAUUCUUUCACCUAGGAUCGAUCUAUAAUAAAGAUUUUGACGAAUAUAUUCGUCGUAAGCAAAAGAUCUCGUUUUAAAAAGAAAAAGAAAAAAAAAAAGAAAAAAAAAAAAGAGAAAAGGAAAACGAAAAGAAGAGGAGAAACAAUAACCAUUUAGAAUCAGGGUACGCUCAAGUUCGAUUAAGUUUCGUGUCUUUGCUAAAUCGUAUUUAAUUAAUUUAUUGUAAGGAACAUGUCCGCGAGUUAAUACGAUUUUAUUUUCAUUUUAUAUUAAAAUAAAUAAUGAACGAGUAAUGAUCGAUGGAAAAAUGACGAUAGUACAAUGGAACGUCACUUUUGUUAAUACGAAUUAAAUCUGUACUUUCAAAAGUAACUAAUCAAAAAGAAAAACAUUUUUAAUUAAACGAAAGAAUUUUUUAUUUAAUGAUAAAGUGAAUAAGUCAAACGAUGAAUCGCAAAAAUGUCCAAUCACGAACACUAUUAUAAAUCUUACUAAAGUGUUAUUAUUAUUAUUAUUUUUUUGUUAUUGUUAUUAUUAUUAUUAUUAUUUUAUUUGUUAUUAUUAUUAAUUAUAUAAUGAUGAUAAUUAUGAUGAUAAUGAUCAUUAUUAUUAUUAUUUUUUUAUUAUUAUUAUCACUAUUAUUUUAUUAUUAUUAUUACUAUUAUUAUUAUCAUUAUUAUUAUUAUUAUUAUUAUUAUUAAUUACGAAACUUUGAAAAGAUAGGUAAGAAAAAAGAAAAAGAUAAUAAUAAUUAUGAACGAUGAACUACCGAUCGUUGAACUAUCAUCCUAUUUAAAUAGUAACUAUAAUUAUUUUUGAUUCUAUCCGAAGCAAGACUUAAAAGUAAAAGACUUCGUUCCUCGUUGAGUUGAUUAAUCAAAAAAAAAAAAAAAAAGAAAAGAAAAAAACAAUUAAUACUGUAAUAUAUCUAAUCGUAUUUCUUCUUUUUUAUAAUCUUUACGAUUUAUUACAAAUUUAGGUUAGAUCGAAUUAUAUAACGUAGAAUUUAUCCGCUAUUCGAACAUAAAAAAAUCCACAUUGAAACCACAAGUAAUCGUAGAUUUUUUUUUUUUUUUUGAAAAAUAAAAGAAACAUUAACAAUAGUACAAAAUGAAACGCAAAGAUCAACGACAGUAUUGAGAAGACAAACAAAAGAAAAGAAAGAAAAGAAAAGGGCAUAAAGUUUCGUAAAUUAUGCGAAAUGGUCGAGUGAUUUUUAAAUUUAUCGAUCGAUUAUAUCGACGUCGUCGGCAAAUCGUUUACGAUGAUUUUAUUUCAAAAUGCUACUAACAUUUUUGAAAGAAUAUAUAUAAUACAUAUUAUGUGUAUAUAUAUACAGUAGCUAAUUAAUAGAGUAUUAAUAGAAGAAAAAUACAUUCCUACUGUACGAAUAUUCAAAUUCCAACAUUGUAUAUUAAUUAGUAUAUUAUAUUGUAUUGUGUGUUUGAAAGUAUGAUAUAUAUACAUAUAUAUAUAAAUUAUAUAGUAUACUAUAAUAUAGUAUAUAUUAUGUAGUUAUAUAUAUAGUAUACAUUAUACUUAAAAAAUGUUAGUAUAUAUAUAUAUAUGUGUGUGUGUAUAUAUAUACAUGUUUAUAGCAUAUACAGCAUAUAUAUAUGUAUAUAUAUAUAUAUAUAUAUAUUAAUAAAUAAAAUUAAUAUUAUUUUAUAAUAACACGUAAAAAUAUUCUCAAACAAACAAGCAUAUGCCUACGAAAAAACUAAUACAUAUGCAUGUGUAUGUAAAUAUGUUGUGCUUACCUACGUUGUUUUCGUUGGCACGACUACCGAGUUGUGUUGAUUUGCAUGUAAUUGGAUUGUUUUGUCUGCAACAUGGGGCUGAAGUCGUAAAUAAUCAAAACAGACGUUGUCUCUGAAUGAAUAUGAAAAACAAAAAAGAAAAAAAGAAUAUAAAAAUAACACUCAAAAAACAAGAAAUAAUAUGAUUACCAUAUAUUAAUUUUAACCACACAAUAUGCAUAUUAUAUCGAUAAAAUUAAUAGAGAUAUUAGAAACAACGUAAACGUUUCGCGGAUCGCUCAAAAAGAAAAGAAAAAGAAAAGAAAAGAAGAGAAGAGAAAACGAUAAUUAAGUCACUCGACCAUUCCAAUUCAAAGUACCAACUUAAAAAAAAAAAAAUGAAUAAUUCAUCAUGGAUUUGUGAAUAUACGCCAUCUAGUUUUUCAUUGGUUCGUUAAAAUAUUCGUUGGGAAUUCUCAUCGAUCGGAUUUAAAUCUAUUUUAUUAGUAGUUCCCUACUAUACCGAUAAAAAAUAUUUCUUUGCGACGUCCAACGAUUCGAUCAUGACGGAAUAUUUGGAGGAACCUUUGAAGAAAAAAGAAAAAGAGAAAAAUCGAAGGGGGAAAAAAAGAAAGGACGAACUAAUGCAAGUGUAAACUGUACGCUUGAGGGAGGGGUACUGUCGUAUAAAAAAAAAAAAAAAGAAAAAUAAAAGAAAGAAAGAAAUAGAAAAAAAGCACAAUCGGUAUCUACGAUUCGAUAUAAGAGCAGAAUCGAGAACCACGUUGACCUAUUAUUAUCGGAAGACUGAAAACGUACCUGAGACAAUUCAAAUGAAAGCCGUGAGUUAAACGCAAAAUGGCCUGGUAUUAUUAGUCUACGUAUGAGUAAAGCUUUAAUGAGAAAAUGAAACAAAAAAGAAAAAAGCAAAAAAAUUCAAACGAAGCUUGUCCUUCAUCUAAUACGUUAAAUCGAGAAUUUAUUAUAGCCUCCUUUUUUUCUGUUUUUUUUUUUUUCGUGCUUCUCGUUUCUCUUGCAAAAGUUCACCGAACAAAUUAACAAAAUUGAAAGAGAAAAGAAUAAAAAGAGAUAAGAUCGAAAGGAAGAGAGAGAGAGAGA